AUAUUGUGGAACGUAGUGUGAUCCGGAGCGAGACCUGCGAGAGAAGGGGAAAUGAGAAAACGUGAAGGGGAAAGGGGGAAACCUUCAUGCUCAGGAGCUUCGCGCUUAAAGUCUUCAUAUAUUUCAAUGAUCUUCUCCUUGUCUGGGCUGGCGGCCAAUAUCAAGGCAUUAUAGACAGACGUGCUGAGGGGAAGCCCACGAAGGCGCAUCUCUUGGUAAAGCUCAAAUGCCUUUUCGUGCUCAUAAGCAUUCACGUGGGCAUGGAUGAGGGCGACGGCUGUCAUUGAGUCUUCGCCGACGCCAGCCAUCAGCAUCUCCGCGUGGAUCUUCAGAGCUUCAGGAAGCUUCGCGGCUGCUCCAGCGGCCAUGAGCAUCGCAUUGUAGAUAUCAAGAUUGAGAACGAUCUUGGACUUGCGGAGGCGGCGGAAGAGGUCAAGAGUGGCGAUGUAAUCGCCUGCAG
rnacentral:misc_RNA from 1 species